AUGAAGUGCUUUGUUUUGACAGCAUUGUUAUUCCUGUCUACCUAGAUUAUGACUCCAGAGGAAGAACCCUGUUGGUCUCACUGUCGCUGGGGCAAUCUGUAACAUCCAGGAGUCCAACAUGCAAUACAAUGAAACUCCUAAUCACCUUGGCUUCAUAGUUUCCUGGAUCCAUCUUUGCAUGGGCUUCAGAAUAUCCAACCAGCAAAAGAUGUGCCAUUCCAUGGAAAAAAUGUCCAAAGCUAGAACAGGUUACUGUUUUUUUUCAAGUGAAU